AUUCUUUUUUUUUUGGUCUACUUUGAUUUUAAGUCUUGUGAUUGUACCCACAUUCUUUACCAUACAUACAUGUCUAUAUGUAUAUAAGUGUUAUAUGAUAUUUUGUUUUGUGACUGAUAUACAUGUAUAUAGCAUACAAAUUAUUGUUGGACUCAGAAAAGACAUUUAUAUGUAUAUAAAUAUAAACUUUAAAAAUGGAAUUCUCUCCCCUUUAUUGUUUUUCCGUCUUCUUUUGUUGAGAAAUGGUAAUCUAUAAUUUGAAUACAAUUUGCAAAUAAAAUAUUCUAAAUAAUUGUUAAAACAAUUAUGAAAUCAAAACUUAUACAAACUUUUUUUUCAAAAGUAAUUUUAUAAAAUAGGCCUGUUUAAUAUUUUAUAUAUAUAUAUAUAUAUCAAAUUCUUAUAGGGGACGAAAUUCUAUUUUUAAAAACUCUGCUUCUUUCCCUUGUCUUGCGAGUAUCGUGAUCCUGUGUAUCCCAAGCGGUCUUUUCCUUCCAGAAAAGGCCUCAAAUAAAAUUGUGUCUAUGCGUUUGUAUUGGUAUGGUCUUUGGGUUUCAUUUCUUGUUAUAGCGUUUUGUUUUAAUCGUGUCUAAAGAACACAGAAAAAAAAUUGGUCUGAGGAAUAGAAAUUUUCCUACUUUUAUACUUAUCAACAUUCUAAAAUACCUCUAACUAAUGUAUAAGUCAUGUUUGAGAUCUCCACAUAAUGCGUUUGUGUGGCCGUGCUUAUAUCCGGACUUGUUAUUGGAGGAGAUACAAUUUUAGACAUAACAAUGUUUCAUGGAGACAUUUCUUUUUAGUGUCUUCAGUCCAGUUUGGGGUUAUCUUUCUUUUUUUUUCACUUCCGGUUCGUGUAUUUAUUUUCUUACCUUUAUCUUUACGCGACACCUUUGUUUCUUUUGAUCUCUUUUGUCAGUAUCUGUUCCAAUCUCUGCGUGACUCUUUAUCUGUCAGUCACGGUGUCUUUGUCUCUCUUUCAUUCUAUCUAUCUAUCUGUCUAUCUAUCUAUCUAUCUAU